AAGAGUAACAUGGCCUUCCUGCGCUUCCAUGUGCCAGAACAACGUUCAAGUCACCAUCUUCUUCAAAAGGGCAUAUUUCUCAUUCUCGUGAAAAUGGUGGGCCUCUCCAGUCUCUCUGCCUUGUUCACAGUCCUCUUUUUUUCCACUCAAUCUCAUUCACAGAACAUGCCUCGCUCUUGGCAACGACCCUGACAUCCAGAUAUGAGUAAAAGGACAGCAUCGUAAAGCAGAGCGUGUGAGUGCAGUAAGGAUUUCCCUCACUGUGCCACUCAUCGCGGCUGAGGACGAAUGCACCGCGACGCAUGAUGCAGGUUUUUAAUAAAUGAGGACAUGCCAGGCUUGUGAAAAACAAAAGGGAAAUUAGAGAAAGAGGGGUUAGGCAUGGAGAAGAGAGGAUAGUCUGCCAGGGUGUCAAGUUUCAGGAGAAAAGAUGACGUUUCCGACCUGUUACUUAUCAGAUUCUUGCGUACGACAAUUUGAAUGGCAAAAGACACUCGAAUAGGGUUAUGAAACACGAGUAAUCCUUUCUAUUAGACAACAGAGUUGAGGAUGAAAGGUUAGAGAGGCAAUCCGGGAUAGAACGUGCGAGCAUAAGUAAGAAUUUUCUCACUAUGCCACGUGCUAUUGCAGAAGCUGCUUGCACCGUGACACAUUGUUGAGAAAUCACUGAAAACUGACAUGAACAGCUCAUGAAAAUAGAAGGAAAAAAACUGGAGAUGUGUUUGGAGAGCAAGAGGAAGCCAUCUCUGCUAGGGCAAGUAUUAUCUAAAGCUCGAGAAUUUGCUUCGAUUAAUAACUUGAUGGGUAAGUGCGCAAUCUUAAGCUUUAAUUCUACCUCUUUUUUAUUAAAUUUCAUUGGUUGAGAAAUUAAAUCAUGAAAUUCUAAGGUGUUAUAAUCUAAAAGAAAGGGUUAAAACGGGAUAUCGAAUACAGCAUUAGGGUUUUGUGACUAGUAUAGAGUUGAAUGGUUGAGUUUUGAGCAUUUAGGCUCAAAAUGACCUAAAAGUUAGGUCAAUAGAGUGAAUUUAGAUGAAUGGAUGUGUUAGGGAGAUUGUUAUAAUUUUUUGAGUAGCCUGUAAGGCUAGUGAACAUAAAUAAUGAAUAAGUGAAUUGAAAAGGGUUCAAUUAAACUAUUUCAUAUGUUAGGAGAUUCGGUUUAGCCAAAUCAAUGCUUAUCAAUUGUGUUGAGAAUUGACUGAAGGGCACUAUUUUAUGUAGAUUGAGCACUUGUGAAGUUGCUCGUGAAAAUCUAUGCCCCUGAAAACUUAGUGUGGUUGGUAACCCUUAGUAGCAAGGGUUAAAAGUAACUAGAGUAACCUUUUUACUUGUUUAUUUAUGAAAUUAUUUGCAAGUCUUUUGGUAUAACUACGUGCAUUAUAUUGUAAACUGAUAGAAUAGCAAGAUUUUAAAAGUAUAUGCAUGCGGGUGUGUGAGUAUUGAUUGAAAUGAAUUUGAGA